UUAAGUUAAUAAGGGCGCACGGUGGAUGCCUUGGCACUAGGAGCCGACGAAGGACGUGACAAACGACGAUAUGCCUUGGGUAGCUGUAAGUAAGCGAUGAUCCAGGGAUUUCCGAAUGGGGGAACCCAACAGGUAAUACCUGUUACCUACAUCUGUUAAGGAUGUGAGGAGGAAGACGCAGUGAACUGAAACAUCUAAGUAGCUGCAGGAAGAGAAAGCAAAAGCGAUUGCCUUAGUAGCGGCGAGCGAAACGGCAGAAGGGCAAACCGAAGAGUUUACUCUUCGGGGUUGUAGGACUGCAAUGUGGACUCAAAGAUUAUAGAAGAAUGAUUUGGGAAGAUCAGCCAAAGAGAGUAAUAGCCUCGUAUUUAAAAUAGUCUUUGUACUUAGCAGUAUCCUGAGUACGGCGGGACACGUGAAAUCCCGUCGGAAUCUGGGAGGACCAUCUCCCAACCCUAAAUACUCCCUAGUGACCGAUAGUGAACCAGUACCGUGAGGGAAAGGUGAAAAGCACCCCGGGAGGGGAGUGAAAUAGAACCUGAAACCGUGUGCCUACAACAAGUUCGAGCCCGUUAAUGGGUGAGAGCGUGCCUUUUGUAGAAUGAACCGGCGAGUUACGUUAUGAUGCGAGGUUAAGUUGAAGAGACGGAGCCGUAGGGAAACCGAGUCUGAAUAGGGCGCCUUAGUAUCAUGACGUAGACCCGAAACCAUGUGACCUACCCAUGAGCAGGUUGAAGGUGCGGUAAGACGCACUGGAGGACCGAACCAGGGCACGUUGAAAAGUGCUUGGAUGACUUGUGGGUAGCGGAGAAAUUCCAAACGAACUUGGAGAUAGCUGGUUCUCUCCGAAAUAGCUUUAGGGCUAGCGUCGACAUUAGAGAUUCUUGGAGGUAGAGCACUGUUUGGGUGAGGGGUCCAUCCCGGAUUACCAAUCUCAGAUAAACUCCGAAUGCCAAUGAAUUAUGGUCGGCAGUCAGACUGCGAGUGCUAAGAUCCGUAGUCGAAAGGGAAACAGCCCAGACCACCAGCUAAGGUCCCAAAAUAAUUGUUAAGUGGAAAAGGAUGUGGGGUUGCACAGACAACUAGGAUGUUAGCUUAGAAGCAGCUAUUCAUUCAAAGAGUGCGUAAUAGCUCACUAGUCGAGUGACCCUGCGCCGAAAAUGUACCGGGGCUAAAACAAUUUACCGAAGCUGUGGAUACCUUUAUAGGUAUGGUAGGAGAGCGUUCUAUGUGUGAUGAAGGUAUACCGUGAGGAGUGCUGGAACGCAUAGAAGUGAGAAUGCCGGUAUGAGUAGCGAAAGACAGGUGAGAAUCCUGUCCACCGUAAGACUAAGGUUUCCAGGGGAAGGCUCGUCCGCCCUGGGUUAGUCGGGACCUAAGGAGAGACCGAAAGGUGUAUCCGAUGGACAACAGGUUGAUAUUCCUGUACUAGAGUAUGUAGUGAUGGAGGGACGCAGUAGGCUAACUAAAGCAGACGAUUGGAAGAGUCUGUCUAAGCAGUGAGGUGUGAAUUGAGUCAAAUGCUUAAUUCUAUAACAUUGAGCUGUGAUGGGGAGCGAAGUUUAGUAGCGAAGUUAGUGACGUCACACUGCCAAGAAAAGCUUCUAGCGUUUAAACAUACUCUACCCGUACCGCAAACCGACACAGGUAGUCGAGGCGAGUAGCCUCAGGUGAGCGAGAGAACUCUCGUUAAGGAACUCGGCAAAAUGACCCCGUAACUUCGGGAGAAGGGGUGCUGACUUUAAGUCAGCCGCAGUGAAUAGGCCCAAGCAACUGUUUAUCAAAAACACAGCUCUCUGCUAAAUCGUAAGAUGAUGUAUAGGGGGUGACGCCUGCCCGGUGCUGGAAGGUUAAGAGGAGUGCUUAGCGUAAGCGAAGGUAUGAAUUGAAGCCCCAGUAAACGGCGGCCGUAACUAUAACGGUCCUAAGGUAGCGAAAUUCCUUGUCGGGUAAGUUCCGACCCGCACGAAAGGCGUAAUGAUUUGGGCACUGUCUCAACGAGAGACUCGGUGAAAUUUUAGUACCUGUGAAGAUGCAGGUUACCCGCGACAGGACGGAAAGACCCCAUGGAGCUUUACUGCAGUUUGAUAUUGAGUGUCUGUACCACAUGUACAGGAUAGGUAGGAGUCUAAGAGAUCGGGACGCCAGUUUCGAAGGAGACGCUGUUGGGAUACUACCCUUGUGUUAUGGCCACUCUAACCCAGAUAGGUGAUCCCUAUCGGAGACAGUGUCUGACGGGCAGUUUGACUGGGGCGGUCGCCUCCUAAAAGGUAACGGAGGCGCCCAAAGGUUCCCUCAGAAUGGUUGGAAAUCAUUCGCAGAGUGUAAAGGUAUAAGGGAGCUUGACUGCGAGAG
rnacentral:rRNA from 1 species